rnacentral:rRNA from 1 species
AGUGAACGCUGGCGGUAGGCCUAACACAUGCAAGUCGAACGGCAGCACAGUAAGAGCUUGCUCUUACGGGUGGCGAGUGGCGGACGGGUGAGGAAUACAUCGGAAUCUACUUUUUCGUGGGGGAUAACGUAGGGAAACUUACGCUAAUACCGCAUACGACCUACGGGUGAAAGCAGGGGAUCUUCGGACCUUGCGCGAUUGAAUGAGCCGAUGUCGGAUUAGCUAGUUGGCGGGGUAAAGGCCCACCAAGGCGACGAUCCGUAGCUGGUCUGAGAGGAUGAGCAGCCACACUGGAACUGAGACACGGUCCAGACUCCUACGGGAGGCAGCAGUGGGGAAUAUUGGACAAGGGGCGCAAGCCUGAUCCAGCCAUACCGCGUGGGGGAAGAAGGCCUUCGGGUUGUAAAGCCCUUUUGUUGGGAAAGAAAAGCAGCAGGUUAAUACCCCGCUGUUCUGACGGUACCCAAAGAAUAAGCACCGGCUAACUUCGUG